UGGCGGUGUCCCACCCUCGGAGUCGCGGCUGCUGCUGGUGCGACAGAGAAUCGCCGUGGGAGCUGCUCUGUGACCCAGAACUCUGUGGAUUUCCGCAGAUGGUGGAGUUGCCUCUCUGUCCAUGUGCUGAGCUCCGGCUGCAGGGACUGUCAGACAUUGUUGGCUGGAAAAACCCUGGAGCAAGAGGUGCCCAAAAGCACUGGGGUUUGUGCCCAGCGAAAGCUGCGAGUGUCCAGCUUCCAACCCCCGCGGACCGUCCCCGGCGCGACUUGUCCCGAGCGCUGCCCUCGGCCGGGAGCGUCCGAUCCCGCCGGGAAUGCGGGAGCGGAGACUCGGCGGGACAUCGGCAACUGGGAGCGGGAGGGGCGGGACGGGGACCGUAAAAGGGGUGUGGGGCGGUGACCGGGGUGACUGAGAGCUCCGGGGGCGGGACGGUGCCCAUAGAAGGAGUGUGGGGCGGGGCUGUGUCCAGAAAAGGGGACUGUAGGGCGGGGCGAGGCCAUAAAAGGAGCCUGUGGGGUGGGGACUAUGCCCAUAAAAGGAACGUGUAGGGCGAGGCGAUGUCCAUAAAAGGAGCGUUUGGGGCGGGGCGACGCCCAAAUAGGGUUGUGUGGGGCGGGGUUAUGUCCAUAACAGGAGUUUGUGGGGCGUGGUGAUGCCCAUACAAGGCGCUCUGGGGCGGGGCUAUGUCCAUAAAAGGAGUGCCGGGGCGGGACGAGAACCAUACACAGUGUGUAGGGCGUGGCGAUGCCCAUAAAAGGAGUGUGUGGGGCGGGACGAUGCCCAUAAAAGGAGCGUGUGGGACGGGACGAUGCCCAUACAAGGAGCGUGUGGGGCGGGACGAUGCCCAUACAAGGAGCGUGUGGGGCGGGACGAUGCCCAUACAAGGAGCGUGUGGGGCGGGACCAGGCGCUGCCGUCCCGUCUCGCUGAGCGCGGCUCUUCCGGGCCCGGCGUUCUCAUUGUUCUCGUCGCUGCCGCUGCUGUCACUGUCAUUGCUGUCAUGGAUCGUCAUUAAUGUUAAAUUAUUCUUGUUUUCUCCCUUAUUAAACUGUUCUGAUCUCA